rfam:Salmo salar isolate Sally breed double haploid chromosome ssa09, whole genome shotgun sequence.
CCUAAUUGUUUCUGUAAAUUGCUCUGGAUAAGAGCAUCUGCUAAAUGACUAAAA